rnacentral:rRNA from 1 species
AUUGAACGCUGGCAGCAUGCCUUACACAUGCAAGUCGAACGGCAGCACGGGAGCAAUCCUGGUGGCGAGUGGCGAACGGGUGAGUAAUAUAUCGGAACGUGCCCAGUCGUGGGGGAUAACGCAGCGAAAGCUGUGCUAAUACCGCAUACGAUCUAUGGAUGAAAGCGGGGGAUCGCAAGACCUCGCGCGAUUGGAGCGGCCGAUAUCAGAUUAGCUAGUUGGUGAGGUAAAGGCUCACCAAGGCGACGAUCUGUAGCUGGUCUGAGAGGACGACCAGCCACACUGGAACUGAGACACGGUCCAGACUCCUACGGGAGGCAGCAGUGGGGAAUUUUGGACAAUGGGCGAAAGCCUGAUCCAGCAAUGCCGCGUGCAGGAUGAAGGCCUUCGGGUUGUAAACUGCUUUUGUACGGAACGAAACGGUGAGCUCUAAUACAGUUUGCUAAUGACGGUACCGUAAGAAUAAGCACCGGCUAACUACGUGCCAGCCGCCGCCGUAACAC